rnacentral:rRNA from 1 species
CAGCAGUAAGGAAUAUUGGUCAAUGGGCGGAAGCCUGAACCAGCCAUCCCGCGUGCAGGAUGACUGCCCUAUGGGUUGUAAACUGCUUUUAUCUGGGAAUAAACCACUCUAUUUAUGGGGUGUUGAAGGUACCAGAAGAAUAAGCACCGGCUAACUCCGUGCCAGCAGCCGCGGUAAUACGGAGGGUGCAAGCGUUAUCCGGAAUCACUGGGUUUAAAGGGUGCGUAGGCGGCCAUGUAAGUCAGAGGUGAAAGGCUACAGCUUAACUGUGGAAUUGCCUUUGAUACUGUGUGGCUUGAAUAAGGAUGAGGUUGGCGGAAUGUGACAUGUAGCGGUGAAAUGCAUAGAUAUGUCAUAGAACACCAAUUGCGAAGGCAGCUAACUGGGCCUUUAUUGACGCUGAGGCACGAAAGCGUGGGGAUCAAACAGGAUUAGAUAC